AUUGAACGCUGGCGGCAUGCCUUACACAUGCAAGUCGAACGGCAGCAUGGGUGCUUGCACCUGAUGGCGAGUGGCGAACGGGUGAGUAAUGCAUCGGAACGUACCCGGAAGUGGGGGAUAACGUAGCGAAGUUACGCUAAUACCGCAUAUUCUGUGAGCAGGAAAGCGGGGGAGUCGCAAGACCUCGCGCUUCCGGAGCGGCCGAUGUCGGAUUAGCUAGUUGGCGGGGUAAAGGCCCACCAAGGCAACGAUCCGUAGCGGGUCUGAGAGGAUGAUCCGCCACACUGGGACUGAGACACGGCCCAGACUCCUACGGGAGGCAGCAGUGGGGAAUUUUGGACAAUGGGCGCAAGCCUGAUCCAGCCAUGCCGCGUGAGGGAUGAAGGUCUUCGGAUCGUAAACCUCUGUCACCGGGGAAGAAACGCUAUGCGAUAAUAUCGCCUAGCCUGACUUAACCCGGAGAGGAGCAGUGGCUAACU
rnacentral:rRNA from 1 species